rnacentral:rRNA from 1 species
AAUGAACGUUGGCGGCGUGGAUUAGGCAUGCAAGUCGAGCGAGGAAACUUGUAGCAAUACUUGUUAUUCGAGCGGCGUAAGGGGCAGUAAUACCUGGGAACGUACCCUCGGGUUGGGGAUAGCUGCUGGAAACGGCGAGUAAUACCCGAUGAACUCGAGAGAGCAAAGGCUUGCCGCCGGAGGAGCGGCCCAGGCGAUAUUAGCUAGUUGGUGAGGUAAUGGCUUACCAAGGCUUAGAUGUCUAGCGGGUGUGAGAGCACGACCCGCGCCACUGGCACUGAGACACUGGCCAGACACCUACGGGUGGCUGCAGUCGAGAAUCUUCGGCAAUGAGCGCAAGCUUGACCGAGCGACGCCGCGUGCGGGAUGAAGGCCU